GUAUGCCUGGUCAUGUGGCGCUCCGUUCAUAUAAAGCUGCUCUGCACACCCGGCCGUUCCAUCUUCACGACGUAUUCCUAACCGGAUGCAUUGCGGUGAAUGCUAGGAUCUUGCGCUAUAGGAUUGAGGGUAUUGAAUCUACACCUGCAGUGCGUCGACUAGCCUCCUCGAGUUUCAAAUCCGAUAAGUAAGACGGUUGUUUCGUCCCGUACCCGGCCGUUUUGAUCUUCUUGAACAGCUCAUCUUCAAGCCAUUCUAUCUCUUCGGCGUCACCGGAGCCGUAUCCGCCGCGCAAAUCCCGCAAACCAGAUACUAGUGCCACCCGAAGC